GACAGAGGGGGCAAGCGUUGCUCGGAAUCACUGGGCGUAAAGGGCGCGUAGGCGGGAUGGCAAGUCGGUCGUGAAAUCCUUCGGCUCAACCGAAGAACGUCGGCCGAUACUGCCGUUCUUGAGGGAUGCAGAGGAGAUUGGAAUUCCCGGUGUAGCGGUGAAAUGUGUAGAGAUCGGGAGGAACACCAGUGGCGAAGGCGGCUACCUGGACCAGCACUGACACUGAGGCACGAAAGCGUGGGGAGCAAACAGG
rnacentral:rRNA from 1 species